rnacentral:rRNA from 1 species
AGCAGCCGCGGUAAUUCCAGCUCCAAUAGCGUAUAUUAAGGUUGUUGCAGUUAAAAAGCUCGUAGUUGAAUUUCGGGAUUAGUACGCUGGUCGUGCCUUCGGUAUGUACUGGUGUUACUGGUUCCUACCUUCUGACGAACCGUCAUGUCAUUAAUUUGGUGUGGCGGGAAAUCAGGACUGUUACUUUGAAAAAAUUAGAGUGUUUAAGGCAGGCUCGCGCUUGAAUACAUUAGCAUGGAAUAAUGAAAUAGGACGUUCGAUCCUAUUUUGUUGGUUUCUAGGAUUGACGUAAUGAUUAAUAGGGAUAGUUGGGGGGCAUUAGUAUUCAAUUGUCAGAGGUGAAAUUCUUGGAUUUAUUGAAGACUAACUACUGCGAAAGCAUUUGCCAAGGAUGUUUUCAUUAAUCAAGAGCGAAAGUUAGGGGAUCGAAGACGAUCAGAUACCGUCGUAGUCUUAACCAUAAACUAUGCCGACUAGGGAUCGGAUGAUGUUAUUUUUAAUGACUCAUUCGGCGCCUUAA